rnacentral:rRNA from 1 species
CAUAUUGUGAGCUCGAUGAGUAGGGCGGGACACGUGGUAUCCUGUCUGAAUAUGGGGGGACCAUCCUCCAAGGCUAAAUACUCCUGACUGACCGAUAGUGAACCAGUACCGUGAGGGAAAGGCGAAAAGAACCCCGGCGAGGGGAGUGAAAAAGAACCUGAAACCGUGUACGUACAAGCAGUGGGAGCCUCUUAAUGGGGUGACUGCGUACCUUUUGUAUAAUGGGUCAGCGACUUAUAUUCUGUAGCAAGGUUAACCGAAUAGGGGAGCCGAAGGGAAACCGAGUCUUAACUGGGCGUUAAGUUGCAGGGUAUAGACCCGAAACCCGGUGAUCUAGCCAUGGGCAGGUUGAAGGUUGGGUAACACUAACUGGAGGACCGAACCGACUAAUGUUGAAAAAUUAGCGGAUGACUUGUGGCUGGGGGUGAAAGGCCAAUCAAACCGGGAGAUAGCUGGUUCUCCCCGAAAGCUAUUUAGGUAGCGCCUCGUGAAUUCAUCUCCGGGGGUAGAGCACUGUUUCGGCAAGGGGGUCAUCCCGACUUACCAACCCGAUGCAAACUGCGAAUACCGGAGAAUGUUAUCACGGGAGACACACGGCGGGUGCUAACGUCCGUCGUGAAGAGGGAAACAACCCAGACCGCCAGCUAAGGUCCCAAAGUCAUGGUUAAGUGGGAAACGAUGUGGGAAGGCCCAGACAGCCAGGAUGUUGGCUUAGAAGCAGCCAUCAUUUAAAGAAAGCGUAAUAGCUCACUGGUCGAGUCGGCCUGCGCGGAAGAUGUAACGGGGCUAAACCAUGCACCGAAGCUGCGGCAGCGACACUAUGUGUUGUUGGGUAGGGGAGCGUUCUGUAAGCCUGUGAAGGUGUACUGUGAGGUAUGCUGGAGGUAUCAGAAGUGCGAAUGCUGACAUAAGUAACGAUAAAGCGGGUGAAAAGCCCGCUCGCCGGAAGACCAAGGGUUCCUGUCCAACGUUAAUCGGGGCAGGGUGAGUCGACCCCUAAGGCGAGGCCGAAAGGCGUAGUCGAUGGGAAACAGGUUAAUAUUCCUGUACUUGGUGUUACUGCGAAGGGGGGACGGAGAAGGCUAUGUUGGCCGGGCGACGGUUGUCCCGGUUUAAGCGUGUAGGCUGGUUUUCCAGGCAAAUCCGGAAAAUCAAGGCUGAGGCGUGAUGACGAGGCACUACGGUGCUGAAGCGACAAAUGCCCUGCUUCCAGGAAAAGCCUCUAAGCAUCAGGUAACAUCAAAUCGUACCCCAAACCGACACAGGUGGUCAGGUAGAGAAUACCAAGGCGCUUGAGAGAACUCGGGUGAAGGAACUAGGCAAAAUGGUGCCGUAACUUCGGGAGAAGGCACGCUGAUAUGUAGGUGAAGCGACUUGCUCGUGGAGCUGAAAUCAGUCGAAGAUACCAGCUGGCUGCAACUGUUUAUUAAAAACACAGCACUGUGCAAACACGAAAGUGGACGUAUACGGUGUGACGCCUGCCCGGUGCCGGAAGGUUAAUUGAUGGGGUUAGCGGUAACGCGAAGCUCUUGAUCGAAGCCCCGGUAAACGGCGGCCGUAACUAUAACGGUCCUAAGGUAGCGAAAUUCCUUGUCGGGUAAGUUCCGACCUGCACGAAUGGCGUAAUGAUGGCCAGGCUGUCUCCACCCGAGACUCAGUGAAAUUGAACUCGCUGUGAAGAUGCAGUGUACCCGCGGCAAGACGGAAAGACCCCGUGAACCUUUAC